rnacentral:snRNA from 1 species
AUGCUCGCUUCAGCAGCAUAUACACUAAAAUUGGAACGAAAACAGAAGAUUAGCACGGCCCCUGCGCAAAGAUGACACGCAAAUUCGUGGAGCGCUCCAUAUUUUU